UUGCCAAACAAGGAAGCAUUGAAAAAUCGUUUCCUAGCAUGUAUUCCAAGCAAAGGUGGAAAUUCCAGGAAUUCCCAGCGAUGUUUCUCGAAAAUGGGCAAACCAUGUUUCGCAAAGGUGGACAAACAUGAAACCACUGUUUCCUAGCCAUGUUCCCUGGCGUUGAUCUUAAAACUAUUCUCAAAUGGGCUCUAUACCCGACAUUUACAAUAUAGUAAUUACUUCAUCUAUCCACUCCCCUUCAAGA